UGCGGGAUGGAGCAGUCUGGUAGCUCGUCGGGCUCAUAACCCGAAGGUCGUUGGUUGAAAUCCAGCUCCCGCUACCA
rnacentral:tRNA from 1 species